GUUCCUUGGAAAAGGACAGCUGAGAGGGUGAGACUCCCGUCCGCCUGGUGGAGUGAGUCGUUGUCAACGAGUCGAGUUGUUUGGGAUUGCAGCUCUAAUUUGGUGGUAAAUUCCAUCUAAAGCUAAAUAUUGGUGGGAGACCGAUAGCGUACAAGUACCGUGAGGGAAAGAUGCAAAGAACUUUGAAAAGAGAGUUAAAGAGUACCUGAAAUUGCUGAAACGGAAGCGAAGGAAACCAGUGUUUGUUGGUUCAUAUUUCCCUGGCCACUUGUGGUUUGGGCGCUGUGAGCUUGCGUGGGUUUGGGUUGGUUGAUCCCUUUGGAAGAGCGCAGUCAGAGUUGAUGUCU
rnacentral:rRNA from 1 species